AUUGAACGCUGGCGGCAGGCCUAACACAUGCAAGUCGAGCGGAUGAAGGGAGCUUGCUCCUGGAUUCAGCGGCGGACGGGUGAGUAAUGCCUAGGAAUCUGCCUGGUAGUGGGGGAUAACGUCCGGAAACGGGCGCUAAUACCGCAUACGUCCUGAGGGAGAAAGUGGGGGAUCUUCGGACCUCACGCUAUCAGAUGAGCCAGGUCGGAUUAGCUAGUUGGUGGGGUAAAGGCCUACCAAGGCGACGAUCCGUAACUGGUCUGAGAGGAUGAUCAGUCACACUGGAACUGAGACACGGUCCAGACUCCUACGGGAGGCAGCAGUGGGGAAUAUUGGACAAUGGGCGAAAGCCUGAUCCAGCCAUGCCGCGUGUGUGUAGAAGGUCUUCGGAUUGUAAAGCACUUUAAGUUGGGAGGAAGGGCAGUAAGUUAAUACCUUGCUGUUUUGACGUUACCAACAGAAUAAGCACCGGCUAACUUCGUG
rnacentral:rRNA from 1 species